AACGAACGCUGGCGGCGUGGAUAAGACAUGCAAGUCGAACGGAUUCAGUCUUGUAGCAAUACAAGGCUGAGUCAGUGGCGCAAGGGUGCGUAACACGUGGGCAACCUGCCCUGGAGACUGGGAUAGCCCGCCGAAAGGCGGAUUAAUACCGGAUGCGGCUACCAAAGGAAUCUUUGGGACGCUAAAGGUGGCGCAAGCUACCGCUCUUGGAUGGGCCCGCGGCCUANCAGCUAGUUGGUGAGGUUACGGCUCACCAAGGCGACGAUCAGUAGCUGGUCUGAGAGGAUGAUCAGCCACACUGGGACUGAGACACGGCCCAGACUCCUACGGGAGGCAGCAGUGGGGAAUAUUGGACAAUGGGCGCAAGCCUGAUCCAGCCAUGCCGCGUGAGUGAUGAAGGCCUUAGGGUUGUAAAGC
rnacentral:rRNA from 1 species